rnacentral:hammerhead_ribozyme from 1 species
CUCCAACUGACGAGUCCCAAAUAGGAUGAAAUGCGCCUUAUCCUGGAU